rnacentral:rRNA from 1 species
AUACGGAGGAUGCGAGCGUUAUCCGGAUUUAUUGGGUUUAAAGGGUGCGUAGGUGGUAGAUUAAGUCAGCGGUGAAAGUUUGUCGCUCAACGAUAAAAUUGCCGUUGAUACUGGUUUACUUGAGUAUAGUUGAAGUAGGCGGAAUGCGUGGUGUAGCGGUGAAAUGCAUAGAUAUCACGCAGAACUCCGAUUGCGAAGGCAGCUGACAAAUUUAUAACUGUCCCAGAAGCACGAAAGCGUGGGUAUCAAACAGGAUUAGAUACCCUGGUAGUCCACGCAGUAAACGAUGAUGACUAACCGUCGGCGAUAGACCGCCGGUGGCCAAGCGAAAGCGAUAAGUCAUCCACCUGGGGAGUACGACCGCAAGGUUGAAACUCAAAUGAAUUGACGGGG